GUAGCAGGAUUAGGUGAGCUGUGAUUGACAGCUACUGUCACCUAUCAGGAAGGGGCAGUCCCUUUUUAAGCACUGAUUGGCUGCUGCUCGGAAUGCGUCAUGUCCUGUGUUUCCCCCGGGUGUUUGUAGCAAUAGCGACAGCAUGUUUGUCCAGCGUACUGGUGCCCUUGUGCUGUUGGUGGCUUAAAUGACUGUGCACCCUCAGUUGGCUGUGGUUGACCUGUUGUAGGUUAAACAGUGCUGUAAAAGACGUUAAUGUGUCUGGGGUGAUGCCACUGUGCGGGUUCUCCCUUUUGUUCUACGUGGUUUCCUCUGGUUGCUGCCUGUUUGAGUCUCGUGCUGUUUUAUCGCACCACUGUAACAUUACAUUAUUGUUACCGCUGUAAACCGGACUGUCCACUGUUUGGUUCCUGAACUUGAGUGUGUAAUAUCUUGAAGUGGAGGAUUAGCGCAUUGGAGCCGGCGUAUGGACUUUGGUGUUUGCGCCAUGACUUUCGUGUAGUUUCAGCUGCCAGUUUUCUUUGUUUGUUUGUUUUUGUUUUAUUGUAAAAUUUGUAUAUUAUUGUUUUGAAUAUGUAUUUUGCUUAAUAUACUUUCAGGAGCUGGGGUCCCCACGGGUGAGGGAUCUUGUGGGGGUGGUGGUGGUACCGCUCAACGGUUCCCGUGUUACACAUUUGAAGUGUAUAAGUGUGUGUACAUUGAGUUCACGGUGUGGUGUGCGAAAGUGUGCUUUUGGACAACUUGUGCCAGUGAUCCCUCGAGUGGGUAACCUCAGCUCUGUAGGUUUGUGUAUUAUUUUAAUUAGUUUAUUAUUUGUCUUCCUUUCCACGCACUGCAUUGUAGCAGUGAGGACCAUUAAACCUUCAAUUGUUUUGUAUUUUUGUGUAACUUUGUGAUUGUGAUGUUUUAUGUCAUUUGUUUUAUGUAUUUAUUGCAGUGAGACAGAUUUGUUUCACUAAUGUUGUCUUCUGUUUAUUUUACAUCUAGCUCAUUGACAUGAACACAGAAUAUUGUGGAAUAAAAAUUAUAUUUUUUUGUACUAUACCCACGUUUUCUGCUCCCUUCACUUUUAAGAGGAACGAACCUGUGUGCCUUACCGCCUUUCUGGGUGUAAGGAAUAUUUCCCUGAGUGUAAGUCCCAGGGUGGCGUAGUCGGAACUUUAUGCAAAGUCUUUCUUUCGUCACGAAGCUAAACUCGCACCCCCUCGUCAUGCCACAUUUGGCGUAGUGUCGGCAGGGUCCUCAAAUUUGGAGUGAAGAGACGUGGGUAUUGUUUUUAUGUAUGUGGGAUUUUGUUUAUGUCUUGUAGCAACCAGACAGCGGCAGUUUUCGCGUCGGAAUCCCAGCACAAUUUGUGGCUGGACUUGCGCGGUUUAAUCGGCUGCGGUCAGUGGUUCAUGGGUCUAGGAAUAGAGGACGAAUCGCACAGGUUAAGCAAUUUUACAGGCUCCGUAGAGGUAAAAUGUGUUAUUGGGUUAAGAACAAAAGGGAGAAUCUGAAUGUAUUGUUAAGUGGAGGGCCAGCUGGGUUUUUGGGCAAGGCUGUGAAAGUGGGGAUGUCGGGCAUGGCGUAUCAUUAAAGGCACCACUAAAACUGGUUGUCGUCAUUUGUUCUGUAUGAUCUGUACACUUCUAUAGUGCCUGAAGUUGGGGUAUUACUGAUGUAGUAUUUGCCUGUAACUUUGAUUUUAUGGUGGGGUUAGGAGGUACUAUCGGUCCCAUGUCAUUAGUUAUUGGAUGGUGUCCCUCUGAGUCUGAGGUGGAACCAUCCAGUAAGGUUUAUUGGUAGGAGAUGUACCCCCCAGGUGAGUCAUUUUCAGAUGGGGUCCCUCAGAGUUUGGGGUGAAACCAUCUAAUGAAUUUUAUAGUGCAGGAGCUGUAUCCCCCAGGUCAGUCAUUUUUCAGAUGGUGUCCCUCAGAGUUUGGGGUGAAACCAUCUGAGAUUUUUAUUUUAUCGGGAAGCUCUUGUUUUAGUUAUUUGUCAUUGGAGAUUACGUCAGGUUAGUUCUCCAAUUGAUACCACUUCUUGUAAUUGGCGGGCACAGCGGAUGUGUCUGCAGAGUGGAUUGUAGAUUCGUGCCUUUUCCCGACCUUGGGGCUGAGCACCCUGAGGUGGGUUUUGUUUAGUUCACCGUCGGGGCGACGUUGCAGAAACUUGGGGUGGAUUGUAGCAGGAUUAGGUGAGCUGUGAUUGACAGCUACUGUCACCUAUCAGGAAGGGGCAGUCCCUUUUUAAGCACUGAUUGGCUGCUGCUCGGAAUGCGUCAUGUCCUGUGUUUCCCCCGGGUGUUUGUAGCAAUAGCGACAGCAUGUUUGUCCAGCGUACUGGUGCCCUUGUGCUGUUGGUGGCUUAAAUGACUGUGCACCCUCAGUUGGCUGUGGUUGACCUGUUGUAGGUUAAACAGUGCUGUAAAAGACGUUAAUGUGUCUGGGGUGAUGCCACUGUGCGGGUUCUCCCUUUUGUUCUACGUGGUUUCCUCUGGUUGCUGCCUGUUUGAGUCUCGUGCUGUUUUAUCGCACCACUGUAACAUUACAUUAUUGUUACCGCUGUAAACCGGACUGUCCACUGUUUGGUUCCUGAACUUGAGUGUGUAAUAUCUUGAAGUGGAGGAUUAGCGCAUUGGAGCCGGCGUAUGGACUUUGGUGUUUGCGCCAUGACUUUCGUGUAGUUUCAGCUGCCAGUUUUCUUUGUUUGUUUGUUUUUGUUUUAUUGUAAAAUUUGUAUAUUAUUGUUUUGAAUAUGUAGUUUGCUUAAUAUACUUUCAGGAGCUGGGGUCCCCACGGGUGAGGGAUCUUGUGGUGGUGGUGGUGGUACCGCUCAACGGUUCCCGUGUUACACCUUUGAAGUGUAUAAGUGUGUGUACAUUGAGUUCACGGUGUGGUGUGCGAAAGUGUGCUUUUGGACAACUUGUGCCAGUGAUCCCUCGAGUGGGUAACCUCAGCUCUGUAGGUUUGUGUAUUGUUUUAAUUAGUUUAUUAUUUGUCUUCCUUUCCACGCACUGCAUUGUAGCAGUGAGGACCAUUAAACCUUCAAUUGUUUUGUAUUUUUGUGUAACUUUGUGAUUGUGAUGUUUUAUGUCAUUUGUUUUAUGUAUUUACUGCAGUGAGACAGAUUUGUUUUGAAUAAUGUUGUCUUCUGUUUAUUUUACACCUAGCUCAUUGACAUGAACAAAGAAUAUUGUGUAAUAAAAAUUUAUAUUUUUUGUACUAUACCCACGUUUUCUGCUCCCUUCACUUUUAAGAGGAACGAACCUGUGUGCCUUACCGCCUUUCUGGGUGUAAGGAAUAUUUCCCUGGGUGUAAGUCCCGGGGUGGCGUAGUCGGAAUUUUAUCUAAAAUCUUUGCUUUCGUCUUAAGCUAAAC